CCUGCCUUGUGUGCAGCUCUAGUCUCCAUGGAACCCUAAGGUUGGGCUCCUGCCCUCAAGAUCAUUGUGAAGAUUCAAGGAGGUACUGCAUGGCGAUGCCUGGCAUUCCACAAGUGCUCGGUUCCCGCGAGGCAGACUGAGACUUGAGAAUUCUUGUAUUGUGUUAUCGUGGGGAUCCUGGAACCAAACUCUCAUGGAUACUGAGGCUGUGAGAUCCUUCCAGAUAGGCCAGAACUGUACUCAGAUGUAAGAACCUGGCUCAAGGGCCCUAGAAGAAAGAGCUGAUCCCAGGUCAGGGUUGGGAAAUGUACAACACAUUGAGACAACGUGGGACGUCUUUUCACACCAGAAAGCAAAGAAGCCAUCAAAGCACAAAGGCAAUGAUGAUAAAAAGACACAAGAGCCACUGGCAGGAGUCCUCACUGGCCAAAAAUUGAAAAAUUUGACCUUCAAAAAGAACAGUAA
rnacentral:lncRNA from 1 species